AAUGGGGGCAACCCUGAUCCAGCCAUGCCGCGUGAGUGAAGAAGGCCUUCGGGUUGUAAAGCUCUUUCGGCCGGGAAGAAAUCGGUUGGGAUAAUACCCCAACUGGAUGACGGUACCGGAAUAAGAAGCACCGGCUAACUACGUGCCAGCAGCCGCGGUAAUACGUAGGGUGCGAGCGUUAAUCGGAAUUACUGGGCGUAAAGCGUGCGCAGGCGGUUUUGUAAGACAGGAGUGAAACACCCGGGCUCAACCUGGGAACUGCGCUUGUGACUGCAAGACUAGAGUACGGCAGAGGGGGGUGGAAUUCCACGUGUAGCAGUGAAAUGCGUAGAGAUGUGGAGGAACACCAAUGGCGAAGGCAGCCCCCUGGGUCGAUACUGACGCUCAUGCACGAAAGCGUGGGGAGCAAA
rnacentral:rRNA from 1 species